rnacentral:tRNA from 1 species
GGAAGCGUGCCCGAGAACAGGGACUACUUUGAUAGAGUAGACACAGAGACACCAAACCUCUCCCUUCCCA